AAAGGGAAAGGAGAGAUUAGGGGAGGUUCUGCUCAGCCGCGAGGUCACAGAAGGCAGAAUUGAUGAUGGUCUCCACAAUGGUCUGGUACCCUCUCUUCUUUACCCUCCUCAUUCACUGCACAGGGUCCUGGGCUGUGCUAACUCAGCCACCUUCAGUUUCUGGGGCCCUGGGCCAGAAGGCAACCAUCACCUGCUCUGGAAGCUCAUAUAACAGUGUGUUAGGUGUGAACUGGUACCAACAACUCCCAGGAAAAGCUCCUAAACUCCUCAUAUAUGCUGGUAGCAAUCGACCCUCAGGUAUCCCUGACCGAUUUUCUGGUUCCAAUGCUGGUAACUCAGGUUCUCUGACCAUCACUGGGCUCCAGGCUGAAGAUAAGGCUGAUUAUUACUGUCAGACCUAUGAACUUAGCCUCAAUGCUCACACAGUGCUCCAGGCCUGUAGGGAAGAGACCACACAGCAUAUGGCCAGUUCCACAGGGGCUUACAAUGAUGUGGCCCCCUGCAUGCCAGCUCAAGUGAGUGGAUGGACACGGGAUGAAACCAGCAGAGAGGAUUUGGGUCCAAACACACAGAGUGCACAUAUUGACCUCAGCAGCCAAGAGAUUUCUGCCCAGCUGUGA